rnacentral:misc_RNA from 1 species
GAUGAAGAACGCAGCGAAAUGCGAUAAGUAAUGCGAAUUGCAGAAUUCAGUGAGUCAUCGAAUCUUUGAACGCACAUUGCGCCCUGUGGUAUUCCGCAGGGCAUGCCUGUUCGAGCGUCAUUUCAACCCUCAAGCCUCGCUUGGUGUUGGGCCCUGCCCGCCGCGGCCGGCCCUAAAGAUAGUGGCGGCGCCGCCUGGCCCUCAGCGUAGUACAGCUCUCGCUCCAGGGUCCGGCGGCAGCCUGCCAGAACCCCCCAACUCUGUGGUUGACCUCGGAUCAGGUAGGAAUACCCGCUGAACUUAAGCAUAUCAAUAAGCGGAGGA